AUACGUAGGGGGCGAGCGUUGUCCGGAAUGAUUGGGCGUAAAGGGCGCGUAGGCGGCCCGGUAAGUCUGGAGUGAAAGUCCUGUUUUUAAGAUGGGAAUUGCUUUGGAUACUGUCGGGCUUGAGUGCAGGAGAGGUAAGUGGAAUUCCCAGUGUAGCGGUGAAAUGCGUAGAGAUUGGGAGGAACACCAGUGGCGAAGGCGACUUACAGGACUGUAACUGACGCUGAGGCGCGAAAGUGUGGGGAGCAAACAGGAUUAGAUACCCUGGUAGUCCACACUGUAAACGAUGAAUGCUAGGUGUAGGGGGUAUCGACCCCUUCUGUGCCGCAGUCAACACAAUAAGCAUUCCGCCUGGGGAGUACGGCCGCAAGGUUGAAACUCAAAUGAAUUGUCGGGG
rnacentral:rRNA from 1 species